AACGCUGGCGGCACGCUUAACACAUGCAAGUCGAACGGAGUUAUUUGAGUUACUUAGAAUAACUAGUGGCGGACGGGUGAGUAACACGUGAGCAACCUACCUUAGAGAGAGGGAUAGCUUCUGGAAACGGAUGGUAAUACCUCAUAAUGUAACUGUACCGCAUGAUACAGUUACCAAAGAUUUAUCACUCUGAGAUGGGCUCGCGUCUGAUUAGAUAGUUGGUGAGGUAACGGCUCACCAAGUCGACGAUCAGUAGCCGGACUGAGAGGUUGAACGGCCACAUUGGGACUGAGACACGGCCCAGACUCCUACGGGAGGCAGCAGUGGGGAAUAUUGCACAAUGGGGGAAACCCUGAUGCAGCGAUGCCGCGUGGAGGAAGAAGGUUUUCGGAUUGUAAACUCCUGUCUUAAAGGACGAUAAUGACGGUACUUUAGGAGGAAGCUCCGGCUAACUACGUGCCAGCCGCAGC
rnacentral:rRNA from 1 species